GCGCGAAACCUUCGCAAUGCACAAAAGUGUGACGAGGCUACUUCGAGUGCCAUCCGCUGAGGAUGGCUUUUGUCAGGUGUACAAAGCCUGGAGAAUAAGGGGAGGGCAAGUCUGGUGUCAGCCGCCGCGGUAAUACCAGCUCCCCGAGUGGUCGGGACGAUUAUUGGGCCUAAAGCAUCCGUAGCCUGCUCUGUAGGUCUUCUGUUAAAUUCAACGGCUCAACCGUUGAGCUGCAGGAGAUACCGCAGGGCUAGGAGGCGGAAGAGGUAGACGGUACUCCAUGGGUAGGGGUAAAAUCCUCUGAUCCAUGGAAGACCACCAGUGGCGAAGGCGGUCUACCAGAACGCGCUCGACGGUGAGGGAUGAAAGCUGGGGGAGCGAACCGG
rnacentral:rRNA from 1 species